ensembl:lncRNA
AAUUGUGGCUGGACAAGGUUCGCAUGUCCUCCAGCUGCACAGAGCCUGAACAAUGAGAUGCUUGACCCAGCUCUCUUCCAGAGUCUUAGACCAGCUGUGUCUAGCUGGAGCUGAACUGGUUGAGACUGGAUAGGACCACUGACCCUCCAUCUGGGCACGUGCGAGUGUCCCGCAGCUUGGUGACCUUUUGACUUCAAAGGGUGGAAAACUUCACCGUAAGACUGCGCCAAGUACCUCCCUUCUUAAGGUGCACAGGCCUGUGGCUGAGCUGCGCCUGCGCAGAAUGAGGAGGCCCCCCCACCUGCUUCCCAUUACCUUUCCCGCAAUCCCUGUGCUCCCUGAACCUGUGAGGCCAGCUCAUCCAGGAACACCCUAGCCCCUUUCUUCUGGGAGCUGCACCUGAGACUUUGUUCUCUUUCUGCAUUAAGCUGCCUUGUCCACAAGUCCCAUCUCAGAGCAUGGGGGCUCAGUGUUCAGCCUGCUGGGUGUCGGACAAAAACAAACUUUGUUCCUUAACGUUAAUCCUUGACUCACCUGCAGUUGCCCUGCUCAUUUAUUCUAAGUCUGUGCUUCCUAUGUAAGCUGUCUCUUCUAAAUAACAUCAAGACCUCUCAGAGAUCCCUCUUUAAUGUCUAGACUUGUCAUAAAACUUCUGCAUCCUGCCUCUCAAUACCAGAUCCCAGCCAAGUCCUAGCUCCUUUCACCUUUAAUUUAGAGCAUGUUUAUGAAAGUGAAAUAUUAAAGAACUGAAGCAGACCUGUAACUAUGAAGAAUUAAGACAAGUUAAAGGUUUUUCCAAUAGUCAUGUAUGGAUGGACAUAAGAGUUGGACCAUUAAAGAAGGCUGAGCACCAAAGAAUUGAUGCUUUCAAACUGUGGUACUGGAGAAGUGUCUCCCUUGGACAGCAAAGAGAUCAAACCAGUCAAUCCUAAAGGAAAUCAACCCCAAAUAUUCAUUGGAGGGACUGAUCCUGAAGCUGAAGCUCCAAUACUUUGGCCACCUGAUGCAAAGAGCAGACUCAUUGGAAAAGAUCCUGAUGCUGGGAAAAGAUUGAAGGCAAAAGGAGAAGGGAGUGACAGAGGAUGAGAUGGUUAGAUAGCAUCACCAACUCAGUGAACAUGAAUUUGAGCAAACUCCGGGAGAUAAUGAAGGACAGAUCAGCCUGGUGUGGUGCAGUCCACAGGGUGGCAAAGAGUCAGACUCGACUUAGCAACUGAACAACAAGGUCUCAAAUAGUUUUCAAAUGUCUUGGUUUCAAGGACCUUUUCACACUCUUAAAGAUAAGUGAGAACUCAAAGAGAGGUGUUUUAUAUCAGUUAUGUCUACUAGUAUUUAUGUUAUUAGAAGUGGAGAAAUGUUAAAAUAUGUAUCCAUUUUAAAAUAAUAAAUCCAUUUUGUGUUAAUAGAUGAUAUUUUUGUUAAAAAAUGGUUUAUUUUCCAAAACCAAAAGGUGAAAACAGUAACACUGUCUUACAUUUAAGAAAAAUCUCUUUAGUGUCUAGAAUAAUAGAAAAGCAGAUGAGUUUUAAUAUCUGCUUUGCAUUCAAUCUGUUGUGGUAUAUUAUCUUGGCUGAAGUAUAUGAAGAAAAUCAUCUCACACAGACAUGUAGUUGGAAAAGAAAAGAAUAUUUUUCACAAAAUUUUGAGCAUUGUUUAACACGGCACUAAAACUCCACUAGUGAUUUAUGGGGACUCUGAAGCUGUUAUCAACAUUCUUCUCACACUCACAUAUUGUUGAGCAUUGACUUGCAUCUCACACUUAUGAUUUAAAUUAUGAUUGUGAUGGGCUUCCCCACAGGUCAGCAGGUAAAGAAUUCGCCGGCAACGCAGGAGACACAAAAAGACGUGGUUUCAAUCCCUGGGUCAGGAAGAUCCCCUGGAGAAGGAAAUGGCAACCCACUCUAGUAUUCUUGCCUGAAAAAUUUCAUGGACAGAGGAGCCUGGCAAACUACAGUCCGUGGGGUCUCAGAGUUGGACGCGACUGAGCAACUGAACACAAUGAUUGUAAUAUGAUGCAUCAGUCAUUUGAAAAAUGUUGGCUCACUGGAUUGAUUACACAGAUCUUUUAAGCACUGACAUAUUUCAUCAUAUAAUCCCCGAAAAACCUCCUUCAUUCAUACAACCACUAAUGUCACAAUACUUAAAAAUCUUGGAGGGUUAGAAAACUGAAAAGCUUACAGUGGGAAAGACACGUUUUCCAUUAUUCUAAUUUUCACUUGAAAAGUUGACUUUUGUUAUUGGCAGAAAUAAUUUCAGUUGAAGUAUUUUUCCUUGAAGUGGAAACCUCUUUUGGUCUUUGAGAAAAUAUCUGCGAAAUCCAUAAGCCUGAUUAGCUAUGGUUAGUCUCUCAGUCACAUCCCAUAAAAUAAACUGUUAGUUGGGCUUGUAACCCACAGAAUUUUUUUUUUUUUGGACUGUGUCACAUGCAGGAUUUUAGUUUCCCAGUAAGAGAUCAAAGCUGGCCCCUUGCAGUGGAAAUGUGAAGUCUUAACCACUGGACCACCAGGGAAGCCCCCAUGUUUGCAGCUCAAACAGCCACCAGGCAACCAUUGUGCCCCAGUAGCCACUGAAGUGCUUUUCACCUACUUCCAGUGUCACCAUCAAAACAUUGAAAGACAUGUUAAGGGUCAAGAUUCAACAAAAGUAGUGGGUUUUAUGGCUUCCUCAAGGGCAUUUUUAGUGAAAAUAGCAUUUUUAAAUUUUAGGGGUUUUUUGGUUUUGUUUUUUGCUGCACGUGCCCUCUAUUGAACACAAUGGCUGAUAGAAUAGAUUUGACCCACUGGAUUUAUACUAAAGGGCCAGCUGUUCUACUCACUAAGGCUUUUUUGCACCUUCAGAGCAAAUGUCAGCACUGAAAAUGGAAAAUAACAUCUCAGUGUUAUUAGGAAAAUAGUUUGAGCUGAAAUUUCUUGGGGACCACCAGGAGUUUGCAGGCCACACUUUGAGUCACUGUCCUAAACAGUUACAGAGUCAUAGGUCACUGGAUAUGUGAGGAACCCCAAAUAGAAUCACAGCUUUAGAAGAGAUUUUAGAAGAGAUCAUUCAGCAAAAUGAUCUCCAUGUUGUCCCACAUUUUCAAAUAGUAUGGUGUUCUCCAAACUAUAAAUAUGUAAUACAUCUCCCAUUUUACAAUACUAUAGAUGAGUAUUUGCAAUCAGCUAUUUUUCACCCAAUGCAUUCUACCCUAUAUAUAAAUCAAAUUUAAUCCCAUCACUUUUGAUUCUGUUUUCAGUAGAGAUGGAGGUUGGUUAGACCACUUUGCAUAAGAUUCCUAUUUGUAAAAGCAUGUGAAGUUGGUUCUCCCUGCCUUCUGCAUGUGUUUAAUCAUAAUCCUUACAGGUUUGCUUUGACAACCACUUUUAUCCCC